ACAAAAUGCAGCAUAAAUUAUUUUUACGUAUUUCUACGCUUAGUUCAAAAUUCAGCGUUUUUUCCACUGCGCGCUGCUUUGGCAAAGAUGCAGAUACAACUUGCCAGGAUAAGUCAGAAGAUAAAUCAGCGCGCAGCUGCAAGCGCACACGAAAGGCAAGAAAAUGCACUAAGAAGUCUGCACCCUAUCCAAGUUUCUCAGAGUGCAAAAAGAAGCCUUCGGAGCCAAAGUCUCCAAGUGAAUGCGAUUGCUUGAAAAUUGAUAAAUAAUAUUAAGACUAUUCGCUAUACAGAAUGUUCAAGUUUCUUUACAAUCUUAAGCUAUCGCCAAAGCACACGCUGCUUAGUUCCAAAAGACGACAACAUUUUACUGAGGCGCGACAUUUGCCAGUUGUGGGCAGGCGGCAUGACAAAGUUAAUAUGCCCAUUAAUACUUUGCCCAUAAGAAAAUAUUCAAGUCUGAAGAGCCAGCCAAUGCUGCAUGAGGACGAUAUAGUGAUAAUGCCACGAUUUUUACGCACAGGCGACUGGUUAUAUAAUGAGCAAUGGAACGCACGACUUGAGGAACUUGAUGUCGUCUGAGCUUACUAACUAACUAAAUUAAAAUGGCGAAUACAAAUUGCAUGAAUGAAAUUCUUAGUUUAAUAAACCAAACGUAACUUUCUCUAUA